rnacentral:rRNA from 1 species
UACGAAGGGGGCUAGCGUUGCUCGGAAUGACUGGGCGUAAAGGGCGCGUAGGCGGGACGCAUAGUCGGACGUGAAAUUCCAGGGCUCAACCUUGGGUCUGCGUUCGAGACGUGAGUUCUUGAGUAUGGAAGAGGGUCGUGGAAUUCCCAGUGUAGAGGUGAAAUUCGUAGAUAUUGGGAAGAACACCGGUGGCGAAGGCGGCGACCUGGUCCAUUU